CCUACGGGUGGCUGCAGUGAGGAAUAUUUGUCAAUGGGCGCGAGCCUGAACCAGCCAAGUCGCGUGAAGGAUGACUGCCCUACGGGUUGUAAACUUCUUUUAUAAAGGAAUAAAGUGAGGCCCGUGUGCCUUUUUGUAUGUACUUUAUGAAUACGGAUCGGCUAACUCCGUGCCAGCAGCCGCGGUAAUACGGAGGAUCCGAGCGUUAUCCGGAUUUAUUGGGUGUAAAGGGAGCUUAGAUGGGUUGGUAAGUCAGUUGUGAAAGUUUGCGGCUCAACCGUAAAAUUGCAAUUGAUACUGGCAGUCUUGAGUACAGUUGAGGUAGGCGGAAUUCGUGGUGUAGCGGUGAAAUGCUUAGAUAUCACGAAGAACUCCGAUUGCGAAGGCAGCUUACUAAACUGCCACUGACACUGAUGCACGAAAGUGUGGGUAGCAAACAGGAUUAGAUACCCCAGUAGUC
rnacentral:rRNA from 1 species